rnacentral:rRNA from 1 species
AUACCCUGUAGUCACGCUGUAACGAUGUCGAUUUGGAGGUUGUCCCUUGAGGAGUGGCUUCCGGAGCUACGCGUUAAAUCGACCGCCUGGGGAGUACGGCCGCAAGGUUAAAACUCAAUGAAUUGACGGGGGCCCGCACAAGCGGUGGAGCAUGUGGUUUAAUUCGAUGCAACGCGAAGAACCUUACCUACUCUUGACAUCCAGAGAAUUUAGCAGAGAUGCUUUAGUGCCUUCGGGAACUCUGAGACAGGUGCUGCAUGGCUGUCGUCAGCUCGUGUUGUGAAAUGUUGGGUUAAGUCCCGCAACGAGCGCAACCCUUAUCCUUUGUUGCCAGCACAUUAUGGUGGGAACUCAAAGGAGACUGCCGGUGAUAAACCGGAGGAAGGUGGGGAUGACGUCAAGUCAUCAUGGCCCUUACGAGUAGGGCUACACACGUGCUACAAUGGCGUAUACAAAGAGAAGCGACCUCGCGAGAGCAAGCGGAACUCAUAAAGUACGUCGUAGUCCGGAUUGGAGUCUGCAACUCGACUCCAUGAAGUCGGAAUCGCUAGUAAUCGUAGAUCAGAAUGCUACGGUGAAUACGUUCCCGGGCCUUGUACACACCGCCCGUCACACCAUGGGAGUGGGUUGCAAAAGAAGUAGGUAGCUUAACCUUCGGGAGGGCGCUUACCACUUUGUGAUUCAUGACUGGGGUGAAGUCGUAACAAGGUAACCA